rnacentral:lncRNA from 1 species
AUGAGGCCACACCCUCCUUCUGCAAAUCCACAGGCCAAGGGAUAUUUUCCAGCCACCAAAACCCCAAGCUGGCCUAAGUCCCCUUCCUUCCAGGCUCACGGGGAUCCCUGUUGCCAGUUUGGACAGCUGGAAGGCCUCAGCACACACACACCUGGGAGAGGACAGGUUACUUGUGAGUCACGCCAGGCCAAGUGCUGCACACAGGGGACAGCGACACAGACACUGACCUCCACCAAGUCCAAGGAGGCAGGCUGGACAGUGGAACUGAGGGGGCUUAAUGACCAGGAACAAAAAGCUCCAGAGCCACGGGGUGGAGGGGAGAUGGCCUUCCUCAGGGAAAGAAUGGAGGACAAGCACUGGUCUGGUGGUGGUAGUGGUUUUAAAGACCGGGGGUAAGACCACCUUCUGAUAAUCAGGUAGGUAAGGAACAAGACUUUUUUUCUAUCUGCAGUGCACACAAGUUACCCAUUCAAGGCACAGAGAAAACAAGGCACAGAGUUUACUGAGUGCCUACUAUGUGCUAGGGACCGGGCUGGGUGAUAAGGCAACGCUUUUCCUACUUCUGAUGUGUCCUUCCCUGUGGAAGGGGCUCCCUGAGCAAACUCUCCUGUCCCUCCUUACUCCUCGCCCAGAGAGAGGAAAAAAAUGAGCUGAUCUGUGAGUUUGAAGAAAUAGGCCAUGCAGAGCCCAGCCCCCUCCCUAGUUGUCUGCUCAGGUUUCUCCAUGUGACAGUUUCUAAGGGGCCUGCCCCACUCACCUGUGCCCCCUGUCUGUGGGAAAUCAGCCCAAGCCACAUCUGCAAAUACCACCUUCACACAGGCUUCCAUCUGCUGACUCUUCUGAACUCUUUCUCAAUUGGAUCAGACCUUGGGCAGGGGAAUGUCUAACUGUGACAUAUGGUGAACACCACAGCCAGUGUGCCUGCCCUCGGGGAGCUGACAGUCAGGCCAGAAUGUGCAUUUGAGGCUCUCGCCAGAGAUCUCAAUCCUGGGGUGCCUGCCAUCCUGAUCCUCUCAUUCUGAGCCUAGGGAGAUCUGAGCCAGAUGUCUGGAGGGACACGUGGCCAAGUGAUCUUUCCCAACCCUUCAGGGGCUCCCCAUUGCCUGCAGGGAAAAGUCCACUUCCUGUCUCCCAUUUAAAGCCCCCUGCUUAUCUCUCCAACCUUCUCCUUCCCCCACUCUCCACCUUGUCUCUACGCUGAGAGAGCCCAUGACUGACCUCUUUCAUCUAGUGGCAUUCUCUCUCAGGCCUUCACAUUUGCUGUUCUCUCUUCCUGACCAAUUUCUCUUCCUGUCCUUUUACCUAAUUCCUGCAGGUCUCUGCUAAGAUGCUCCUUUACCCAGAGAACCAUCCCUUACCUUCCACUGACAUUGCAGAUUUGGCUUGAAUGUCCCUC